rnacentral:hammerhead_ribozyme from 1 species
GCACUGCUGAUGAAACCCACACAGGUCGAAAUAACUGUCCAGUGU